rnacentral:rRNA from 1 species
CCUACGGGUGGCAGCAGUGAGGAAUAUUGGUCAAUGGACGAGAGUCUGAACCAGCCAAGUAGCGUGAAGGAUGACUGCCCUAUGGGUUGUAAACUUCUUUUAUAUGGGAAUAAAACGUUCCACGUGUGGGAUUUUGUAUGUACCAUAUGAAUAAGGAUCGGCUAACUCCGUGCCAGCAGCCGCGGUAAUACGGAGGAUCCGAGCGUUAUCCGGAUUUAUUGGGUUUAAAGGGAGCGUAGGUGGAUUGUUAAGUCAGUUGUGAAAGUUUGCGGCUCAACCGUAAAAUUGCAGUUGAAACUGGCAGUCUUGAGUACAGUAGAGGUGGGCGGAAUUCGUGGUGUAGCGGUGAAAUGCUUAGAUAUCACGAAGAACUCCGAUUGCGAAGGUAGUUCACUGGACUGCAACUGACACUGAGGCUCGAAAGUGUGGGUAUCAAACAGGAUUAGAUACCCUUGUAGUC